rnacentral:rRNA from 1 species
CAUCACUACGCUAGAUGCAUAUCAAUAAGCGGAGGAAAAGAAACUAACAAGGAUUCCCCUAGUAACGGCGAGUGAAGCGGGAAGAGCUCAAAUUUGAAAUCUUAAAGGGUUUCCCUUUACGAAUUGUAGUUUAAAGAAGUGUUUUUCUGUUGGAGUUUCGGUAAAAGUUCUUUGGAAUAGGACAUCAUAGAGGGUGAGAAUCCCGUAUUUGACCGUUACUUUCCAGCUGUGUGAUACACUUUCAAUGAGUCGGAUUGUUUGGGAAUGCAGUCCAAGAUGGGUGGUAAAUUUCAUCUAAAGCUAAAUAUUGGCGAGAGACCGAUAGCGAACAAGUACCGUGAGGGAAAGAUGAAAAAGAACUUUGAAAAGAGAGUUAAACAGUACGUGAAAUUGUCAAAAGGGAAGCGUUUGACACCAGUGUUGUUUAGUUGAAAAUCAAUUCAAUAGUUUUUUGAUUCUAAGUAGUAUUGACUUCAUCAGCUUGCUGCUUUCUUCUCAGAAAUUAUUGAAUGCACUUUUCAGUUAACAAGUCAACAUCAAUUUCUUUUGUUGUAAAAGGGUAAGAGGAAGGUGGCUUGCGCUUCGGCUCAAGUGUUUAUAGCCUUUUAUCUCUGCAAUCGGAGAGAUUGAGGUCUGCAGCGUAGAUCCUUCGGGGUUAGAUACAUUGGUGCUAAGCUAUAGCCUUGUAUAGACAACUUGUUGACUAUGCUCAGUCAUGUAGCUUACUCGCUGAUGCUAUUUUACCUACGCUUAGGAUGUUGACACACGCGCGUGCUCG